UGUAGUAAGUUAUACUGUUUAUCAUGUUUUAAUUUGGUGGGAUCACAAAGUAGGACAUAAUGAGAUCGACAACAUCUGAGGUCCAUGGAGGGUUAAUAACGUUUUGUCGACAAUAAAUGUUACUACCAUAAUUAACCCAACUUCAAGAAUAUGGAGAUUCGCUUUACAAGCUCUAUCCAAAAAGUAUCCAUAUCUUCUUAUCAGACUCUGCCAGACAGUCUUAAUGGAAAUGAGGUGAAGAUGUGUCUGCUGUUGAUGCCAUUUUGGAAUUGGAUAACAGGAACAGGAAGUGGACAUUUGGAAUGGAUUGUGGGAUUUAACAUGGACGUUAAAGUCUUAACGCUGCGUUAACUAACGUUAACGUUAACUUUAACACACCAUCAUGUGUAAGCUUACGAUAAAAUAUAGUCUAUUGAUGUAAAGCAACAGUCCAUAAUAUCAUUUCUAAUUGGCAUAAAUUACUAAAAUGCAAAUAAACACACACAAUCGGAAAAUCAA